rnacentral:rRNA from 1 species
CAGUCGCCGCGGUAAUACGUAGGUGGCAAGCGUUGUCCGGAAUUAUUGGGCGUAAGGGCUCGCAGGCGGUUUCUUAAGUCUGAUGUGAAAGCCCCCGGCUCAACCGGGGAGGGUCAUUGGAAGCUGGGAAACUUGAGUGCAGAAGAGGAGAGUGGAAUUCCACGUGUAGCGGUGAAAUGCGUAGAGAUGUGGAGGAACACCAGUGGCGAAGGCGACUCUCUGGUCUGUAACUGACGCUGAGGAGCGAAAGCGUGGGGAGCGAACAGGAUUAGAUACCCCCGUAGUCCCUGUCUCUUAUACA